AUGGCUGCCCUGCCGACCGCCGCCGCCGCCGGGCGCGUAGCGGCCAGCGCCUUCACUUUCCCCGCCAAGCCCUCCGCUUCCUCCUUAGCCGCGUUUCUCCCCCGUGCCGCAGCCGCCGCGGCGGCCUUUCCAGCGAUCGCCCUCGCACCGGCGGGGGCCCUCCAGCGUCGGCGGAGGCCGACGGCGGCCGGCGCAGCGCCCGGGAGCGAGCAGAGGGAGACGAUACUGCUCCCCGGGUGUGACUACAACCACUGGCUGAUCGUCAUGGAGUUCCCCAAGGACCCCGCGCCCACGCGCGAGCAGAUGAUCGACACCUACCUCAACACCCUCGCCACCGUCCUCGGCAGCAUGGAGGAAGCCAAGAAGAACAUGUAUGCCUUCAGCACAACCACUUACACUGGGUUCCAGUGCACUGUCGAUGAAGAAACAUCAGAGAAGUUCAAGGGUUUGCCUGGUGUCCUGUGGGUGCUCCCUGAUUCCUACAUUGACGUGAAAAACAAAGACUAUGGAGGUGAUAAAUACAUAAAUGGUGAGAUCAUUCCAUGCACAUACCCAACCUAUCAACCAAAGGAGCGGAGGACCUCAAAGUAUGAAAGCAGACGGUAUGAGAGGCGAAGAGAUGGCCCUCCUGCCAGCAGGAAACCGAAACAACAGGCCACUCAGCCUGAGUCAGCGUCUUCAUGA
rnacentral:rRNA from 1 species